AAAAUAGUAGCCAGAAUUGAAAUGGUCGACUGUAUUACUGAGGAGUACACAGGCCAGACAAAGGAUUCACCUUGAUCAGAAAUAGAGAACUCAGGCAUAUCACCGGAGUGAUGCUGGGUUCUUCCUAUUGCACCAUCAGGAGGCACAUGG